rnacentral:lncRNA from 13 species
GGUACAGUGUACUGUACUGGAUGGCCCACUGUGAUACUGCAGUGAUGUAAUACCCUCAGGUGUAAUGACACAGUAAACACAAGCUGUUCUUCCUCAUUUAGUCACCUGUUAACAGGUGUACUGUCUUGGGUUAGACGUGUACAAUAUAUAGCAAGCCAUAUAAAAAAAAACAUGUAAAUAUAAUUUUACCCCAUUUUUUCUCCAUAAUUUCAUGGAGAACCCAGAAUCUCUGGUGGCACUGCGAUGCCUUAGACCACUGCGCCACCCGGGAGGCUAUAGCAAAUAGCUAUACAGAUUCUGUAUGUUUUUAAAGACUAAUUUUACCUGGUGUCUACGUGUGUAAAUGUUAGCUAUACUCUGUAGUACAGAGUUCGGAUUUUUAUGUGCCCCAUUUCAUCGCAGGAGGAUUUGAAUAAAUAUUUAACAUGUAUAAUGGCCACCAGGGGGCGGCUGGGAGCAGUGUUUUUUUAGGCUACAGUAGAACAACGCGCUACUGUAUCUAGUGGGCUGUGGUCUGAGCAGCACGAUCCGAGCUUCAUUGGGGGAAAGGUUCUACAAACCAAUCGUCCUCAUACCAGCAAGUAUCAAGUAUUCCCACGUUGCCGGUUUGCUGUUGCAUCGCUGUGGACAUGACAGGAGGAGGAGUCUCUGCGAGGUCAGGUGAAGGAUCUGGAGGAAAAGUUAGAGACUCUGAGGAUGAAGAGGACAGAGGACAAGGUACCGUUAUUACUAUCAUGUUUAUUCAUAUACCUAAUUAUGAUUAUUAUUAUGUUUAUUAUGAUUUACAUAUUGUUAUUUCCGGUGGUAUGCAUUGAAACGUGUGGCUUUUUUUUUGCAAAAUAACUAUGAAUUGACAGACUUGUUUUCUAAUAAUUGUCAACAUAUAACAUCACUUUAUUUCAAGGAACCAUAGCAGGUCUGGGGGGGAAUGAGGGAUGGUUCACAGGGGUUUCUGGGUGGGAAGUGACCAAUGGGUGGGUUUCUGGGUGGGGAGUGACCAAUGGGUGGGUUUCUGGGUGGUGAACGA